GACGAACGCUGGCGGCGUGCUUAACACAUGCAAGUCGUACGGUAAGGCCCUUUCGGGGGUACACGAGUGGCGCACGGGUGAGUAACACGUGAGUAACCUGCCCACAACUUUGGGAUAACGCUAGGAAACUGGUGCUAAUACUGGAUAUGUGCUCCUGCUGCAUGGUGGGGGUUGGAAAGCUCCGGCGGUUGUGGAUGGACUCGCGGCCUAUCAGCUUGUUGGUGGGGUAGUGGCCUACCAAGGCGGCGACGGGUAGCCGGCCUGAGAGGGUGACCGGCCACAGUGGGACUGAGAUACGGCCCAGACUCCUACGGGAGGCAGCAGUGGGGAAUAUUGCACAAUGGGCGCAAGCCUGAUGCAGCAACGCCGCGUGCGGGAUGACGGCCUUCGGGUUGGAAACCGCUUUCAGCAGGGACGAAGCUUUUUGUGACGGUACCUGCAGAAGAAGCACCGGCUAACUACGUG
rnacentral:rRNA from 1 species